GGGGCUGACUUGGAUUUCGACAGAUUUCUUGUCGCACAGAUAGCAUGCCAAGCGCUGCUUGUAAAACAGCAACAAAAAUAACUGUAAACAACACAGAUUACGCUCCAGCUUACGCUAAAGCUGCGUGAGUUAAUCUCCUUUUGGAGCUGGACUGAUUAGAAUUUCUAGCGUUUUAAUCACUCCAUUAACCUUAAGCUAGACGCUUUUAAAAGGUGGUUCGCCUUUUAAACUAAGAAACAAGAACUCUUGAAACUACCUCAAGGUUUUAGAAAGUUGGACCAGAGCUAGUUUUAAGGCUAAAAACUAACCAAUUUUCUAAGCAUUGUAGAAGUUUGUGUUUAGGGCAAGAUUUUUGGACUGGGGUUCGAUUCCCCACAGCUCCACCA
rnacentral:tmRNA from 1 species